UGGGGAAUAUUGCACAAUGGGCGCAAGCCUGAUGCAGCCAUGCCGCGUGUAUGAAGAAGGCCUUCGGGUUGUAAAGUACUUUCAGCGAGGAGGAAGGCGUUGUGGUUAAUAACCGCAACGAUUGACGUUACUCGCAGAAGAAGCACCGGCUAACUCCGUGCCAGCAGCCGCGGUAAUACGGAGGGUGCAAGCGUUAAUCGGAAUUACUGGGCGUAAAGCGCACGCAGGCGGUCUGUCAAGUCGGAUGAGAAAUCCCCGGGCUCAACCUGGGAACUGCAUCCGAAACUGGCAGGCUAGAGUCUUGUAGAGGGGGGUAGAAUUCCAGGUGUAGCGGUGAAAUGCGUAGAGAUCUGGAGGAAUACCGGUGGCGAAGGCGGCCCCCUGGACAAAGACUGACGCUCAGGUGCGAAAGCGUGGGGAGCAAACA
rnacentral:rRNA from 1 species